rnacentral:rRNA from 1 species
CCUACGGGAGGCAGCAGUGGGGAAUAUUGGACAAUGGACCAAGAGUCUGAUCCAGCAAUUCUGUGUGCACGAUGAAGUUUUUCGGAAUGUAAAGUGCUUUCAGUUGGGAAGAAAAAAAUGACGGUACCAACAGAAGAAGUGACGGCUAAAUACGUGCCAGCAGCCGCGGUAAUACGUAUGUCACAAGCGUUAUCCGGAUUUAUUGGGCGUAAAGCGCGUCUAGGUGGUUAUGUAAGUCUGAUGUGAAAAUGCAGGGCUCAACUCUGUAUUGCGUUGGAAACUGUGUAACUAGAGUACUGGAGAGGUAAGCGGAACUACAAGUGUAGAGGUGAAAUUCGUAGAUAUUUGUAGGAAUGCCGAUGGGGAAGCCAGCUUACUGGACAGAUACUGACGCUGAAGCGCGAAAGCGUGGGUAGCAAACAGGAUUAGAUACCCCAGUAGUC